UACGUAGGGUCCAAGCGUUAUCCGGAAUCACUGGGCGUAAAGCGUGCGUAGGUGGAUGUUUAAGUGAGAUGUUAAAUCGUGUGGCUCAACCAUAUCGGUGCAUCUCAUACUGGGCAUCUAGAGGACGGCAGAGGCAAGUGGAAUUGGUAGUGUAGCAGUGAAAUGCGUAGAUAUUACCAGGAACACCAAUGGCGAAGGCAGCUUGCUGGGGCCACUCCUGACACUGAGAGACGAAAGCUAGGGGGAGCGAAUGGG
rnacentral:rRNA from 1 species